rnacentral:tRNA from 1 species
UGGCUCAAUGGUAGAGCACUUGCCUUGCAUGCCAGAGGCCCUGGGUUCAAUUCCUCAG